rnacentral:rRNA from 1 species
UACAGAGGUGGCAAGCGUUGUUCGGAAUUACUGGGCGUAAAGGGCGCGUAGGCGGUUCGAUAAGUCCCGUGUGAAAUCCCUCGGCUCAACUGAGGAACUGCACGGGAAACUGACGGGCUUGAGUUCGGGAGAGGGAAGCGGAAUUCCGGGUGUAGCGGUGAAAUGCGUAGAUAUCAGGAGGAACACCAAUGGCGAAGGCAGCUCGCUGGGACGUGACUGACGCUGAGACGCGAAAGCGUGGGGAGCAAACAGG